CAGAGUAUAGCUAAAUAGAAAAGUAUCUCACUUACACCGAGAAGUUAUCCGUGCAAAUCAGAUUACUCUGA
rnacentral:tRNA from 1 species